rnacentral:RNase_P_RNA from 1 species
GAAGCAAGCCAGACAGUCGCUGCCCGUUGCAAAACGGGGGGAGGAAAGUCCGGGCUCCGCAGGGCAGGAUGCCGGCUAACGGCCGGGCGCCGUGAGGCGACGGAAAGUGCAACAGAGAGUAGACCGCCGAUGGCCAGGUCAAACUGGCACAGGUAAGGGUGAAACGGUGCGGUAAGAGCGCACCAGCGUCCCGGGCAACCGGGCGGCUCGGUAAACCCCAUCCGGAGCAAGACCAAGCAGCAGGCGUUGAGGCGGCCCGCCAAGCCUGCGGGUAGGUUGCAUGAGCCCAUUAGUAAUGAUGGGCCUAGAGGAAUGGCUGUCAGGAUGCGCGAGCAUCUGUACAAAACCCGGCUUACCGGCUGGCUUCGCAA